rnacentral:rRNA from 1 species
CCUACGGGAGGCAGCAGUGGGGAAUAUUGGACAAUGGGGGGAACCCUGAUCCAGCGACGCCGCGUGAGUGAAGAAGUAUUUCGGUAUGUAAAGCUCUAUCAGCAGGGAAGAAAGAAAUGACGGUACCUGACUAAGAAGCCCCGGCUAACUACGUGCCAGCAGCCGCGGUAAUACGUAGGGGGCAAGCGUUAUCCGGAUUUACUGGGUGUAAAGGGGGCGUAGACGGCGAUGCAAGUCUGAAGUGAAAGGCGGGGGCCCAACCCCCGGACUGCUUUGGAAACUGUAUGGCUGGAGUGCAGGAGAGGUAAGUGGAAUUCCUAGUGUAGCGGUGAAAUGCGUAGAUAUUAGGAGGAACACCAGUGGCGAAGGCGGCUUACUGGACUGUAACUGACGUUGAGGCUCGAAAGCGUGGGGAGCAAACAGGAUUAGAUACCCUAGUAGUC